rnacentral:lncRNA from 10 species
GGACCAGGAAGCAUCUUUUCCUGCUCUGAAGUCACAGAUGGACAUGCUGUCAGCCGCAUUCUUUCAAGGGUCAUAAAAGGGUCUCUAUGUUGAUCUUUCUCUUUUCUUUCCUAUCUAGGCACAGCUGGAGUGCCCUCUGUGACAACAGUUGCCCCUGGAACCUCUAACUCAGGUAAAGCACCAGACUGGGAGGAACCAGUACUUGGAAAGGGCUCCCCAGUGAGGUGUCUGCCUGGGUGAUCCUACCAUGCUUUUCUCAGAUUCUUCAAACCUUUGCCCUCACUGCUAUUCUUUUUCCCUCUUUUGCAGAGGCCAUGACUGCUUUAAGAGAAAGUGGAAAAACAAGGGCUGAAAUAACCACAGGUACUACUGAGGGCAAAACUCUGGCAGCUGAAAGUACCCAUACAGGUCAGGAAUUCUGAACAUGGCACCCUGGGCAAUACAGCUUAUGGGGCCCCAGAAUGUCCUGUGCAGUCUUCAUACAUCCAAUUCCUUUCUUUCUCAGAGGCCACAACUUUCUUAGGAGGCAGCGGAACCACCCGAGCAGGACCAUCAGGAGGUGAGCUUGUUAGGCUGAGGCCUGAGGCUCUCAUCAUCUCUCUCUCUGGGUGGAUACAGGGAACAAAUAAUGUGAAGGCUUUUGAGGGAGGGGGAUUUUCUCUGGGGCCAUAUUGUGUCCUAUAUGUGGUCGGUUAUUCUGCUUGUGAUUCCAUGAUCUCAGAUGGCUCAGCCAGGCUGUCUUCAGUAUCUUGACUUAUGGAGACAUUUUUUUCUGAUAUGAAGAGGCUUGGGAGUCUAUUACACUUAUCCCAUCCUUCCAGGAUGUCCAGCUGUCCUUUACCCAAUUUACCUUUCCACCCACAGCUGGACACUUUCU